rnacentral:rRNA from 1 species
UACGGAGGGUGCAAGCGUUAUCCGGAUUCACUGGGUUUAAAGGGUGCGUAGGAGGGCAGGUAAGUCAGCGGUGAAAUCCUAGAGCUUAACUCUAGAACUGCCAUUGAUACUAUCUGUCUUGAAUAUUGUGGAGGUGAGCGGAAUAUGUCAUGUAGCGGUGAAAUGCUUAGAUAUGACAUAGAACACCAAUUGCGAAGGCAGCUCGCUACACAUAUAUUGACUCUGAGGCACGAAAGCGUGGGGAUCAAACAGG